GAGUCCCCUGACAGCAUGGCUGUUUUUCAUUGUAGACCAAGAAGAUUUUGAAGUUUCAUCCUCAGAGUCAGGGUAACCUGAAAAGCCGAGACGGCACAACCAACAUGGAGCAUGUUCCUGAGAAAUUCCCAACUUUCCACUCAUCUCCAAACACCUUGAACUUUUCCAUCAAAAUUUUCCAGAUACAGCAAAGCUUCAAAGCACGAAAAAGAUGAACUCAAAACACCAGUGACCAGAGGAACCAUGACAACACAAACAAGAAGGAAACAAGAAAGAAAAGCAUAAUCCUGGUUUUUGUGUUCUGAAUUGUGGAUUUGAAAUUGAGGCUCCCGUGGCUGCUGACAGCCUGCCUUGAUGCUGCUGAUGUCUGGGUGAUGAACAGUCAUGGGUUUCCUCCCACCUGCCUCUGUGGAUUAAUGAAGAGCAAGGCAGGAAUGGCAGACCCGCCAUCUGGAAUGACCUUACCUGAUAAGAUUGUUCUGCCUUCCCCGCCAAAGGUGAGGAGGGCUUUCAGGAUGCAGGAGACUGUUUUCCCCACAACUUAAUGAGAAAAAUUGACCUGUUUAUUCACCAGCUGUCUUCUUUGUUUCUAAUCCAAGCAAUUGCUGCAAAAUCUUUUUCACUUCUUCCAUGUUGAAAUUGAGCAGAAAGCCCCUCGAGUGUGGCUUAUCUUUGGCAAACAACAAGGAAUCAGGUUGGAGGAUUCACACAGACUCGCUGGGAGACACAUGGAAUGGGAGACCAGCAAAUAUUUACACACUGUGUUCAAGAUCCAUUCUUAGAAGUGCGAGCAUAAUUUAUGUGACAUUUUGAGCACUGUGCCAGUGAGCGCCUUCUCUAUGUACAAAAUGUGCUACUUUAGUCAUGGCUGUAUCACUUUUGGUGGAGUGCAGCCUUUGUGAGUUUCAAUGGUAUGGCGGCCAUUUCUCUGGGGCAAGAGUAGACACCACCAAGGAAAGCCAUUGUUUUCCUGUGUGAGCUAGUGUUUUCUCUAUAAAGCUUGUAAAAGGGU